AUGGCGGUGUUGUUAUUGAUGUGGCUGACGCGACGAAGGGCAGAAUCAUGGUGGAUAUUUGUGGGAGGGACGGCCAGGUUCGGACUUUGGCGCAGUGUGCGGGAGGCACAGUUAAUGUCUAACGGUAGUUGCAUCAUGGAAGGGUGCUCGUCAUGGUGUGGUUGGGUGAUGCGCAUGGAGCUGAUUCACGGAAGGUGCAAAUGCAUGGUGUCGGAAGGGAGGUUGACGAAGAUGGAGGUGGCCACGAUUUUUGUGUUGUGCGGCGAUUUACCUAGAGAUGUCGGCUUGAAGGUGUCGAUGAGGUCCGACGCGAAUGCGAUGUCGUCAGAGGAAGCUUUAUUUAGCUUGUGA